rnacentral:rRNA from 1 species
UGGGGAAUUUUGCACAAUGGGCGCAAGCCUGAUGCAGCGACGCCGCGUGAGGGAUGAAGGCCUUCGGGUUGUAAACCUUUUUCGCUCAUGGUCAAGCCGCAGCUUUGGGUUGUGGUGAGGGUAGUGGGUAAAGAAGCGCCGGCUAACUACGUGCCAGCAGCCGCGGUAAUACGUAGGGCGCGAGCGUUGUCCGGAAUUAUUGGGCGAAAAGGGCUUGUAGGCGGUUGGCCGCGUCUGCCGUGAAAUCCUCUGGCUUAACUGGGGGCGUGCGGUGGGUACGGGUUGACUUGAGUGCGGUAGAGGAGACUGGAAUUCCUGGUGUAGCGGUGGAAUGCGCAGAUAUCAGGAGGAACACCGGUGGCGAAGGCGGGUCUCUGGGCCGUUACUGACGCUGAGGAGCGAAAGCGUGGGGAGCGAACAGG